CAAUACAGCAAUUUGACUGCAAAGAGAGACCAGCUAGAGACCAGUUACAACACCCUGACUGCAGACAGAGACCAGCUAGAGACCAGGUACAUCAACCUGACUGCAGAGAGAGACCAGCUAGAGACCAAUUACAACACCCUGACUGCAGAGAGAGACCAGCUAUAGACCAGUUACAACACCCUGACUGCAGAUAGAGACAAGCUAGAGACCAGUUACAACACCCUGACUGCAGAGAGAGACCAGCUAGAGACCAAUUACAACACCCUGACUGCAGAGAGAGACCAGUUAGAGACCAGGUACAUCAACCUGACUGCAGACAGAGACACACUAGAAAGGGAGAGAGACCAGCUGGAAAACAAUUACAAGACCCUGAUUGCAGAGAGAGACCAGUUGAAGUAAACAUCUGACCAGCUGACUGAAAGAAUCAGAGGUAUUGUUAAAACUUGUCCACAAGGAUGGUUGAAGUUUGGCACCAGUUGUUACUAUAUCUCCACUGAGAAGAGAACCUGGAAGGAGAGCAGACAGGACUGUCUGAACAGAGGAGCAGACCUGGUGGUCAUAAACAGCCGAGAGGAACAGAGUUUUCACCUUAGUUUUGGGACAACAGUCUGGAUUGGUCUGACUGACAAAGAUACAGAGGGAACCUGGACCUGGGUGGACAAAUCACUGACCAAUGUAUCACCAAAAUUCUGGGCAGACGGGGAGCCAAAUGACGCACACAACGAAGGGGAAGAUUGCGCCCAGAUUUACUUCCUUGCAAGAAAACCAUUAAUGUCCUGGAAUGAUAUACCAUGCAGUGCCAAAAAUAAUGCAGUCUGUGAGAAACAGGCCUAAUUUGACAGGUACAAGACCAGACAGUAAUAGUGAGAAUAGAGAAAAACAUUUAUUAUGGGGGUUGGUUUAGGUUUGAGUGUCCUGUUUUCUUCAUCAAGGUGCAUGAAAUGGAAAAUAGUCAGUUUUGGUGAUUUUUAGGGUUCCUCCGUCAGGAGGACCUUAUU